rnacentral:lncRNA from 1 species
GCACACUGUGUAUUGAUACAAGCAGCAGAGUCAUUGCCAUUGGAAUGUCAGACAAGCUCUUGCUCCAGAUACGGAGAGAAUGGUAUUCAAGCAUAGCUCAUCCAUAGACGUGGAAGUUGUUUUCCAGGUACCAAACAAGAAUUUCACUCUUCUCCUUGUACCCAUAGCUUUAGAGUUAGCCAGAGGCAAGACUAGCUUCCAUUUUGCCAGCCAAUUCACUCUAAAACUCAGAGACAUAAAUACAAUAAUGCACAAUGAAAAGGAUGGCUGAAGGUGAUCUAAGCUUUCUCUUCCCUUCUAUUUUGCAAGCAUGCAAGAAGUACUAUUCAGCUGUGGAGAAGAACUCAUUCUGUCCGAGUUUCUAUUUUCCAUCAAACCAGGAGUUCAAGAAUUUCCUCCCUUGAAGAACCUACAGUCUUAUGACAAUCCAUCUUGUCAUAAUGAGACAUUCAUCUUCUGGAGACUGGGAAAUCUACAUUCAAGAUUGCUCACCUUUUCUUUUUUUAAGCCUACUCUCUCCAUGGCAGCUUGUUCAACAUGCAAAAAACCCACAAUUUCAGAUGAAGAAACCCACAGCCCAUAUGAAGAUCUGCACUACUUGGAUCUCCAAAUCUAGCCUUAUUAGAAGAGCCCAGUCCUUCCUCCCUUCCUGUCCCUGCCACAUUUUCUGUGAGAUGACAUUAUGCCAAUGAACCAAAAAUCUGAAAAGUCUUUACUCCUGAUUCCACAGAUAAUCUCAGUAUAUAAUGUUAUCCUAAUCCAGGAGUCCAUACAUUUACACAUAGCUGCGCACCACAGGUGAGAAGGGUUGCGAUCUAUCAAGAAACAUCCCAACUGGCAGUAUCUGUACAUUUCCGAAUAUGAAACAACAAUCUUCCCUUUGAAACAUUUUCUCAGUACCCAUAAGCAGGUUCUCAAUGCUUUCUCUACAUCUGUCUUAAUGUAAAGGUCAGAUCAGCAAUCCUUGAGGUACCCUACCUCCCUGAAACGGAAGUCUCAGAUGGGGAGCAGAAUAAACCCCAGAGUAUUGGAGAUAAGUGCUUUCA